rfam:Triticum aestivum genome assembly, contig: Triticum_aestivum_CS42_TGACv1_scaffold_436215_5DL
GUAGUACACCCUCCAUCUGGAAAUACUUGUCAGCAAAAUGAAUAAAAGGGGAUGUAUCUAGAUGUAUAUUAGUUCUAGAUACAUCUUUUUUAUCCAUUUUGAUGACAAGUAUUUUCGGACGAAGGGAGUACUUG